rnacentral:rRNA from 1 species
GAGUAACGCGUAUGACAACCUACCUAUCGAGAGGGAAUAACCCGGCGAAAGUCGGACUAAUACCGCAUAAAACAGGGGCACCGCAUGGUGAUAUUUGUUAAAGAAAUUCGCUGAUAGAUGGGCAUGCGUUCCAUUUAGGUAGUUGGUGAGGUAACGGCUCACCAAGCCGACGAUGGAUAGGGGAACUGAGAGGUUGGUCCCCCACACUGGUACUGAGACACGGACCAGACUCCUACGGGAGGCAGCAGUGAGGAAUAUUGGUCAAUGGGCGGGAGCCUGAACCAGCCAAGUCGCGUGAAAAGGAAGAAGGAUCUAUGGUUCGUAAACUUCUUUUGCAGGGGAAUAAAGUGCAGGACGUGUCCUGUUUUGUAUGUACCCUGAGAAUAAGGAUCGGCUAACUCCGUGCCAGCCGCAGC